UUUCAGGAAACAAAUACCCUGCACGUAAGUAUCUUAGCGAUUCGGUCUUAUUAAUUUCUUCUUUUUCCAGGUGACCAGGGUAUCUGCCGUGAAGAGCCAUGGACCGCCAUUCAUGUUUUAGUUCUUCAUCAUUUCGCUGCGUCGGAUGGUAGUCUCGAGAUGACAGUUUUAGUGCUGAAAGAUUGUCAUCGGCCAUGCGAAUCGCUUGAAAGAGAGGUUAAGAAGGCCCCUGCCUCCUUGCCGUCGUGACAGGUAGAGUCGGAUCUUUGAAGAGUGGGGGUGAUGGAUACCAAACUUAGUGAGCGUUGUUCUGAUGUUUCGAUCUAUUUCGCGGAGCUCAGUCGUCGACCAGCCGAUCGCACGUGACGGAGAUUUUCUGCUGGAAGGAGGGGUCCCUGCGUUUUAUUUUGAAUUCAGAAGCCACCUUUCUAACCGCUUUAGUUACCUUUUUGGAGGGAUUCGGCAUAUUCAGGUAAGUAUGUAUCACUCCAAUUUUUUUCCUCAAAUUAGUGAUUUUAUUUUGCAGGCGUUCCUUCCAGGGAGGGGUAUCAUGUGUUUUCUUAUGAUUUUGUUGUCCAGUAUUUUGUCCUAUUUCCCGUCCAUGUGUUUCACAUAUUGUGACAGCCCCGGCAUAGACUAUAUCAACCAAUUCUUCUAAGCUGUUGACGUUACUCAG